rnacentral:rRNA from 1 species
CGGACGGGUGAGUAACGCGUGGAAAACCUGCCGUAUACUGGGGGAUAACACUUAGAAAUAGGUGCUAAUACCGCAUAAGCGCACAGCUUCGCAUGAAGUGGUGUGAAAAACUCUGGUGGUAUACGACGGUUCCGCGUCUGAUUAGCUUGUUGGUGGGGUAAUGGCUCACCAAGGCGACGAUCAGUAGCCGGCCUGAGAGGGUGAACGGCCACAUUGGGACUGAGACACGGCCCAAACUCCUACGGGAGGCAGCAG